UUCCAUGGGUCAACAUUAAGAUGAAAGGUCAGGGCUCAGCUUUCAGAGGAAAACAUGAGUAAGUAAUGCCUGCAGCCCCUGAGCACCGUUAAGUUUCUUGUAGAGUGGAAGCUCUCUCAUGGAUUUGAAGGGAAUGUUGCAAGGAGCUUUAUGAGUCAAGGGCAAUGUUCCUCCCCAAGAAUUCAUCGGUGCUGGCUGGAGUUUGAUCAUCACUUAAUCUCUUCCAGUCUCACUCGCAAGGUCCCAUCUAGGUCGCCAAAAACUGUCACCAUGGACCCCAAGCUCUCUUCUUUUGGGUCACUUGGAAAGCAGUGAGUUAAGGAGGAUUUGGGGAGAGUUCCACAACAUCCUUGAUUCAGCCAGAGCCUCCAUGUCCCCUUCUUCAGAAGAUGUAUCAGUCUCCUCACCAUACUUGCUGUUUUCUAGUUCAGUUGGUGGGUCCCACCUCUGAUGUGAUGACACCCCAAGGCUAUACUAUGCCACCUCCUUAUGAGAAAAUUAGGCACAGACUGAAUGGUCUGAGUUCUCCUUCUUGCCUUACCUGCUGAUUUUAACUAAGGAUAUUUGAGUUGUCUUUAGCUGUCUGACGGCUACAAACCCUAAUGGGAAAAAAAGGAGAGGUGUGAACAAGGGAAUGAGGCAAAUCAGAGCUCAUUUGGGGUUUGCAAAGUUGAGAAGAAUAGUGUGAAAGCAAAGACCAUUUGCCUUUACAAUGCUGAGUUUGCACAUAUCACCUCUGUCAUCAGGGAUACUGCCUGCUUCUGUUCUUACAGUUAAAACAGUUGCACAAAGUGUCCUGUUCCACUGGUUAUGGCAUUAGCAAGCUGUGUGGACUGAAAGGGGUGAAGACCACGGUCAACAGACCACAGGGAAGAGGGCUCAGCUACUCAGGAAACCUUGUAUUUUAUGGCUGGGAAGCAAUAAAGCAGAGGAUUGGUGAGGAAAAAAUGAAGAAAAUGUGUGAAACUUGAUGCAAGCAUUGAGGGAAAGAAAAGGAGAAUUUAAGGCGAAGUUAAAUUAAACCUGUGCCGGUGGUUGCGUGAUCUUCAUAAAAUAGGCUUGGAAACGGGAGGAUUUUUUGCUGAUGCCACUGGCGUGUGAGCACCCAGUGCCCUCUGCUGACACCACUGCAGGCAGCUUAUGCAAUGCACGGUGCUUCUGAUCUCCUCAUUCCUUUGGCAGCAGGAAAAACCACAGGUCCCCCUCUGGGGAAAUGCUGAA